UACGUAGGGGGCAAGCGUUGUCCGGAAUUAUUGGGCGUAAAGCGCGUGUAGGCGGCCAGAUAAGUCCGCUGUGAAAUCUCGAGGCUCAACUUCGAGCUGUCGGUGGAAACUGUCUGGCUAGAGUCCGGAAGAGGAGAAUGGAAUUCCUGGUGUAGCGGUGAAAUGCGCAGAUAUCAGGAAGAACACCCGUGGCGAAGGCGGCAUCCUGGACCGGCAUUGACGCUGAGGAGCGAAAGCCAGGGGAGCAAACGGG
rnacentral:rRNA from 1 species